AAUUUCAGACUGUCCAGCUGAUUUCUGAGUACAUGUCAAAGCUAGUGGGAGCAUAAGUGUUAUGCUAAUAAUCAUCAUGUUAGUGGGAGCAUGAUAAUUAUGAUAAGUAUUGCAAGUUAGCAAUGUUAAUUAUAGAAAACAAAAGUUUCAAUUGGGAAAAAGUUGUUUUGCUAUAAUUAAGGGAGAGGAAAUUAUGCUUCAUCUCAAAUCUAUAAGCUUAGAUCGUGAGGUUUUAAUCAUUUAGUCAAGGAUAUAUAUGAAUUUCAUGUUGGAAUGGCUCAACAUAAGGAAAUUCUGUAUAUGGGUCCAUUAUUUGCGUUCUAAAAUUCGAUUAUGAUUACGGCAUCCCUUUUCAUAAUCUGAAUUAUGAGAACUUGGCAAAUUGAAAUGGAAAUAUUAUAGCAAAAGACUGGUUUAGUCUUUAUGUAAGACAUCAUGAAUCGUGUCCCAUAUGCUUCGGAUAUAGGAUCGAUUACAUGUGCUAUAUUCAUCCGUUCUAAAAUUUUCCAAAUGCCUGGGGCAUUAAGAAGGGAAAAGGUUUAGAACUGGAUAUGACUAAAAGGAUUAAACAAUUGUCGAGGACAAUCUAAGGUUUACCAAAGAUUGGUUACUCAAGGACAAUUGGAAGUAUAGUGAUAAUUCUGGAAGGACCAUAUUGACAUAAUCUGUAAGGAGGCAACUCUUGUUCAGAAGUGAUAGUCAAAAUGGAAUCUGGAAAUGUUUCAAAGUUAGAAUUUUCAAUCUGUGUAAGAUUAAGGAAACUUAAUGCAAGAAGGAUAUUUCCAAGGAGUUGAUCUCCUUUGGAAUACUCUGUAAUGAUUGUUGCCAAGUCUUUGUGACUUUGUGCAUAAUCAUUACAAGAGGAUCAAUGCAUAUAAGUUUAGAAUCUAACAGAUUUCAGUAAAUGGCAUGAAUUUGGAAUUCUUGCAUUUGCAGUAAGGAUUUGGGAGUGUGAAAAGAGAAUCAUUGAAGUUAUGUUCAAUUGAUCUAGUUCACAAAGUAAAGAUCAUAGACAAACAUAGUAUGCAUACUUGGUGUAUGGCAUGACUAGUGUUUAGAAAACAUAGUGUACAUGCUUGGAGCAUGGGACAACUAUUGUUUUAAAUUCAAGAAUAAAGUUGAUAGCUGAAACAGUAUACAAUGAAUAAUGUGUAAUCAUAUGGUGAUAAAUAAAAGGUGUUUUAUUUAUGUUCAUAGGUUUUGAUACCAUAUUGGAUUCAAUUACUCUUGUGUUUCAUUUUGCAUGUUUUGACUUCCAGAAUAAACUAGGUUAUUCUUCCGGAAUGACUAAGUUAAUCAAACCAUCCACAGUCGGUCAUAUGUUGGAAGUAGAUAUGAAUUAAGACUGUCAUGGGUUGGCUUGUAGAGGUCUAAGGUGUUGGACAAAGGGCUACAACACUCAUGAGUGCUCAUAAGUUCUGAGUAUUGGAUUCAACCCGCGCUCAUUGGAAUCACUUCAUGGAUUUUAUCACGAGUGAUCAUGAGACGAUAAUAUCUUAUAUUCUUCAAACCUAGAGAUAUGAGUUGUUACUAUGAGUUGAUAGUACAUUGAUUGCACGAAAACGCACGCAUUGGUAACUCGAUGUUAUAAAACGUGCCUUUGUGUAUGAUUCAACUAGUAGAACAAGCCAUAUGAGUCGAAGUUUAUCCAUUCCUCUUACCUUUGGGAUAAAAUCAAUAUCUAUGGGCCCCUCGAUGAUUUGAUGAUAACAAAUGGAUGUGCUCGGCCGGGACAGGACUGAUUUGAUUUGUUUAGUUACUCAGUCGUCAUAAAUCGGAAUUCGGGAAACAACAAAUUGACAGAGAGAAUGAUUAUAAUCCAUGUCUCAGUCCAUAUGAUAUCUAGAAUGGAGGAAUAUAUGAUCCCUUAUCUAAUGGACAAGUCAUUGACAAAGGUCAGAGUUCAUCUACAAGGUCAGAGUUCGACAGAAGCUUUUGAGAGCUACGAUUGCCAGUUGGUUCCUGAAGUCAUACGCAAUAAUAGUUUUAGACUUAUCCAAGUGGGAGACUGUUGGAUUAAUGUCUAAGUCCAUAACUAUAAUUGGUAAGACUUGACCCGACCCGGCAUGGUCCAUUUGGGUUGCAUGGCAUCAUGCACUUGGAUAGACUAAAUGAGAGAAAUAAGACACUUAUGGUUAUUAAUAUAUUAUAAGUUCUAGUAUAUUAAUAAUAAGAAUAAUAAGAUUAUUUAAUUAGUAUUGAUCAAGAAUUAAUCUAGGAUUAAUUAAGUGAUCAAAAGAAGACUAAUUAAGUAUAUGGGUUGAUUGUGCAAAUCAUCCAUAACUUAUAUAGUGGGCCAAAGCUCCAUGGAUAAUCAAGUUGGGUUAAACCCAUAGGAUGCUCCACUGAGGUUACAUAACCCAUGGAUCAUGGAAAUGAAAGGCCAUGUCAAUUAGGGUUUACAUGGUGUAACCCUAACUAUAUAUGCAUCUUAUUCUUGACAAAAAUCGGUUACUAGAGUGUGAAAAAGAAGGGCUAGCCGAUUUCAUGAGUUAUGGAUUUCUCUCAAGUUAUUCCAAGUGUAUUUGGUGUUGUGUGAACCAUUUGAGGUGUCACACUUAGGGCACUAGGCACUCAAGCUUCAUGAAGACUUUCUACAUCAAAGAGGUAUGUAUCCUAUCUUGUUAUAUUCAUUGUUUUGUAUGCUAGAUUAGGAUAAUACCUUGGAUGUUCAUAUUUGCAUGUAUAAUAGAGAAAAAAUAGAUCCAAGGUAUUUAGGGUUGCAUGUACACUUAGGAGUGUUAGAAUGCUCAAAACCCAACACAUAUAUCCCUAGUGAGCUAUUAUAGGUAUAGUUUGGUCUUAGACAUAUGAUUUGGUAAUAAAUAAGGAUUUCGACCUAGCGAUUUGUUGCGGAAAUCACCUUUAGUUCCAAAUGUACAAUAGGGACUACCAAUCAUAUUAUUACUUACUUACAGCGGGUCUCAUGAGAAGACUACAUACUUACAGUGGGUCUCAUGAGAAGACUACUUACUUAUAGCGGGUCUCGUGAGAAGACUACUUACUUGCUUACUUUCUUUCACUUAGGUCUUGGUAGAAGACUACUUUCAAAACAGUAGGCUCUUGGUAGAAGACUACAUUCAAAAUAGUAGGGUCUUGGUAGAAGACUUCUUUCAUAGGGAUCAUAGGGAUUUCUAUUGUUAUUCAAACGUUUUCCAUUACUUACAAACAUUUUCAUACUUAUACGAAUUUCUUUCAAAACAAUGUCAAGACUUUCAUUACAAGUUUUACAAAUCAAAGACACAUUAAUAUUUAUGAAUUGACCAGCUUUUUGGAUGAUACUCGCUUUCAAAAUAAGUUGUAUUCUCAGGUCACAAAUAGAUAGGUACGACGACCAGGUUUGUGAAGACGGAGCAGUCCAGACUCGUUUUAUUAUGAUUAUUCAUUUUAUUGUUGUAUAUUAUGAAAGAAAACAUUUGUAAAUAAAAUUAUACUAUUAAUGAAAUGGAUGAUGUUGUUGCUUGUUUACUACUUACAUUGUUAUGAUACAUUACAUGACGUCCUCCGCCCCAGAACGUUUCCGCCGUUCUCGGUUUUGGGGUGUGACAGAUUGGUAUCAGAGCAUUGUUUAUAGUGAAUUAAGUAUAUCAACCCUUAAAAUAUAUACUAACUAUAAAUACAUUGCGAAUAAAAAUACUCUGACCAAGAGUUUAUACUUUAAAAUAAUACAAUAUUGGAUUAAGUAUACGUGCCUGCAUUCAUACUAAAAUCAUUGUCACUAGGACAGUACAAAAGAAUUACGAUUAUUGGGCAACACAAGUGGACUUAGAGACAUAUAGUCAAAACUGGGAAGAUAUAGCCUGAUCAACUAUAUUAUCCAAGGGUUGACUAGCAUGUGCCUAAGUAUAGUUGUGUGGUUGCAACAAGUCUAAUAUCAUACCAACAAUACCACAAUGAGAACAAUAAAACAUAAACCUAAAAUACUAUAAGGGUAUUUGGUGUUACUAUAAGUACAUUAUACUUGAGAACUAAAAAGGAUCUUCAAUACUAAGUUGAUAGUUGCUAAGUGGAUACACUAAGGCUAUGUGUAACUAGGAUGUUAUAGAUUUAGAAUCUGUGAAAAUUUUGCUUUACCCCUAUUCUUUGUGAAUUUGGAGUUAAGGUCACUUAUUCGAAGGCCUAUCCUAUUGAAAUUACAUAUGAUUGGUAUGCACUUUACAAAUAGCGAUGUAACUAAUGAAGAUUUUCUAAUAAUUAUCUUAGUUAGUUAUUAUCGCCCCUUUUCUCGUGCUUAUAUCAUCGCUGGAUUCCAUCCCUACGACAACCCGUACUACCCUAACCACAACAAUACUCGAGGACUCGUAAAGGAGCCAAAGAAUGAUCACCCUGCUGAAGACCUUUCUAGUAGUUUUUGCCGCAGAUAGUACCUCAUCGACUUCUCUUUAGGACAUAACCUAGUUACGUAAAACUCUUUUCUAGUUUCCAAUCGCUACAAAUCUUAGACCUAUUAGGCCUUAAUUAAGUCGUAGUCCUGUCAAAACUUUCCCAUCUGAGUUAAUGUAAGGCCUCCUACUAAACCAUUUUCCCGAACAUACUAUCAUCUGUUAGUUCUAGACCUACGUUCAAUCAUGAUGUUGGGCUAUGGAGAGUUAGUCCAUGAGUCAUUCUCAUCAACUUUCAUAUUCGAAAUCUUAUCAUUGUUCCUGUCUUUGAAACUUAUAGUUAAAAGAUGUCGCCACGAAGAAAUCCAAGGCGUAACCCAAAUAACGAAACACUAAUACCACCACCUCCUCCACCACCUCUGCCACCCCCUCAAUUCGAUGCUGCCAUGUUCCAAGCAGCUUUCACAGCGGCANGCGCCUGCCGUGUCAGCCAUCAAUGGUCCUGUCCCUAGUGGAUCGGGAAUAGGUGCACCUCCUUCCCACCAUGGAGAGAGCCAUGGGGAUCCCUAGGAAUGCACCUAUAAAGAAUUAUCGAACGCCAAAGCCCUAAAUUUUAAUGGAACCGGAGGAGUGAUGAUUUUAAGGCAAUGGAUAUAAAAGACGGAAGCAGUCUUUGAGAUAUGUGCUUUCCUGGAGAACAACAAGGUCAAGUUUGCUGCUUGUACCUUUGCAGGAAGAGCUUUAACAUUGUGGAAUGGCCAUGUUAAGUCCCUGAUGCUAAAAGUGGAAAAUUCGAUAAGUUGGGAGAACUUAAAGAUCAUGUUCACGAAAGAGUAUUGUCCACGAGGAGAGAUUCAAAAGCUCGAACAGGAACUCUGGAAUCUUAGGAUGGUUGGUAUAGAAAUAUCAACUUAUAUGGGGAGAUUCUACAAUCUGGCAAUUAUGUGUCUCGAUAUGGUUCCUAUUGACAGCAAGAAAAUAAAGAGAUAUAUUUGGGGAUUGUCUCUUCAAAUUCAGUUAAGUGUGUUAGCAUUGAUGCCUGAUACUUUCGACAGUGCCAAAGAACUAGCACAAUCUCUUAUUGACCAUGGAAACUACUGGAACUCAAUAAUUGCUGUUCAAGAUCAGCAAAAAGAAAAAAACUCCGGGAAACAAGGUGGGAACAAGAGGAAAGACAAGUCCUCACAAGAAUCCUCAAGGAAAAAACAACAGGUUACAGUCUAUGCUGCUACGGUACCUACAAUAGGCCCUGCUAACCCAUUACCAGCAAAGCCGUAUGCUGGUAAUCUCCCGAUGUGCAAUAAAUGCAACUAUCAUGUCACACCCCAAAACCAAGAACGGCGGAAACGUUCUGGGGCGGAGGACAUCAUGUAUAAUAUCACAACAAUGUAAAGUAGUAAACAAGCAACAACAUCAUCCAUUGCAUUAGUAAUAUAAUUAUUAUACAAAUGUGUUCUGUCAAAUUUUGAUAAACACUAAAUCAUAAAUCCAAAUGAAAGAUGAGUCUUGAACAAGCUCCAUCUUCCUUUCUCCUUGCAUCGGUACCAGUCUAUGAUGACCUGAGGAUACAAGUAAUUUUGAAAGCGAGUAUCAGCUUUAAAGCUGGUGAGAUAAUAAGUAUUUUAGUGUCUUAAUUUGUAAGUAAGAAUUUGUAUGUAAGAAUUUGUAAGUAUAUGAAUUGUAAGUAUUGAAAAUGUUUGUAAAACAACUGUAAACGUUUGAAAAACCCUAGAAAUCCCUAUGAUUCCUAUUAGUAACAAAAGGAGUCUUCUACCAAGACUUAACUGUUCUCAAUGUAGUCUUCUAUCAAGACUUAACUAUUCUGAAUGUAGUCUUCUAUCAAGACCUAACUGUUCUGAAUGUAGUCUUCUACCAAGACCUAACUGCUCUGAAUGUAGUCUUCUACCAAGACCUAACUGUUCUGAAUGUAGUCUUCUACCAAGACCUAACUGUAUUAGUAUUACCCUUUGGAACAAGGGCAACUAUCAAUGUUAAUUGAAGACAUCCGUAGAUGUACAUUUACCUCUAUUGCUAACAGCUGGGUAUAGGAAUAGUUAGUCCCCAAAAGUGUACCUGUAAUGGUAUCAACCGUUGACAUCUGUGGAUGUGCUUUUACCUCUGUAGCUAACAGAGAUUCUAGGAAUGGUCAAUCCCACAACGUAUCCAUUGGUACUAGGAUAUUAAAUCCAAUCUAUCUCGUCGAUUAUGUGAUUGAAUCACAAGGUAAAGAUAAGAAUGAGGAUUAUAUAACAGGAUCUAUACAUAUAACAUGUACUAGUAAUUCUUGUAAGUGUACUCAUGUAAAUGUGAUCAUGUGACCAUAUCUAUGUAAUAGUAUGGUAAUGUACUGUAAUGUUCUAGCUGUAGUGUACGUGCUCUCUAUCUAGCAAGUAUAGUAAUGUACUAUAAUGUUCUAGCUGUAGUGUACAUGCUCUCUAUCUAGCAAGUAUAGACUCAUGAAUGAACUUACUCAUUGUAUGGUAUUACAUUCUAGUAAUAGUUCUAGUAUCUUCCUAAACUACCCAUAUGGUAGUUUACUAGUAAUCUAACUGAUACGUAUGGACGUGGAGGUAUACCCUUGCUACCCAAGGGCAUGGGAUGAACUGGAAGGGCCUUUAUGACUAUAUAUGUACAUAUGUGAUAUAACUAAUAUUUGUUUACGAUCCUCGGCAUCCCAGUCGCAAAUUUGAAAUGCAUAUCGAGAUUUAAACAUGCCAUUGAAAUGUUCAAUGAAUCUCAAUGAUCUAGGAGUUUUCAAUACAUUUAAAACCUAAGUUGUUUUUUCAUUUUUCAUGGUGAAAAUUAGUGAAUCGUCAUUCACUUACCUUCAAAUUAUUUAUUUUUAGAGUACGACAUCCCUUUCUAAGUUGUAAAUAAUGUUGUUGGAUCCUAGCCCUAAUUUCUCAUUUGGGUCUUUAAUUAGGGAUUCAUUUCUAAUCAAACUUUGUUCCCUUCUUUUUCAGAUGUCUGCAAACAACAACAACAACAACGCUUCUGGGUCAUUCUCGUUGAUGAACUUGUGUCAGAAAGUGACAUUUGAUGGUUCAAACUUUAAUGAGUGGAUGAGGUAUAUUCGCAUGAUCACACGCUACGAGGACAAAGAAUAUGUCCUCGAUGAAAAGCUUGAGAAGAUCAUCCCAGAUGUUGCUACUCCUGAAGAAUUGGCCGCCUUUGAGGCCCAUGAGCGUGAUGCCACGAAAGUUCACUGCAUCCCGCUGGCCAACAUGAAGCUCGAACUCCAAAAGUCCUAUGAGGACAUGUAUCCAUAUGAAAUGCAUCAGGAUUUGCUGGAUAGGUAUCACCAGAGCGCGAGGCAAGACCGUUAUGAGAUCAUUACUAACAUGAUCACCGCUAAGAUGAGGAGUGGAGAAUCCCUAACCUCUCAUUUGCAGAAAAUGCAGAGGUAUGUUGAUCGUCUUCUCAAACUUAAUGUUAAGUUUGAUGAGGAUUUGGCUAUCAACAUAAUCCUCCACUCCUUGCCCUCCUGGUACAAUCUGUUUAGGGUGACCUACCCUAUGAAAAAAAGAGGAGGUCUCCUUGAGCAAGCUCCAAGGACUCUUGAGGACUACUGAGAGCAACCUCAAAGAUGAAGGCUCCAUGUAAGAGCCACCAUAAGGGGAAACCACGUGAUGGUUCGUCCUCAAGUGGGACCAAAGCUGGCCCUGNGAUCCUAAAGAAGCAGAGUGCUUCUAUGGCCACCAAAAGGGCCACGGGAAGCGAAGCUGCCCACAAUAUCUGCAAGAGAUAAGAGAUGGGAAGAUUAAGCCCACCUUUGUAGGUAUGUAUUCUAUUAAAUGUAAUAAAUCAUCAUUUGCUACUUCAUGGGUUCUUGAUAAAGGGUGUGGUUACCACAUUUGUUCUGAUAUGCAGGGCCUAAAAAGAAGUAGGGAGAUGGAACACGGGAAGAUGAACCUGAUUAUGGGAAACAGAAGAUCGUCGCCUAUGACCAGUGUCAGUGUUUAUUCUUUAGUGUUAAAUAAUGGGUUCGGGAUAGAUUUAGUGAAUUACUGUUAUGCGCCAGAUAUGGAAAGAAACAUUAUUUCUUUUCACGGGUUGUUUAGACAAGGUUUCAGAUAUUCUUUUGAUAAUAGUAAUGGUUCUAUUAACGUUUAUUUGAAUGGUGUUUUUUAUUUCAAUGCAUUACCUUGUAAUGGGAUUUAUGAAUUUGUGAUGAUUGUUGAUAAUUUAGGAAAUAAUGUUUUGAAUAUUGAUUCGUCUACUAGUCUAGACACAUCAUGCUUGUGGCAUUGUCGCCUUGGCCAUGUCAACAAGAAAUGCAUAGCCCAACUCAAAAAGAAUGGAGUGUUGGAGUCAUUCGACCUUAGGGACGAUGACACGUGUGAAUCUUGUUUACUUAGGAAGAUGACCAAGUCACCCUUUACUGGCACUUGUGAAAGGGGUGAGGGUUUAUUGGAUCUCAUACACACCGAUGUAUGUGGGCCCUUUAGAUCCACCACAAGGGAUGCUUGCCGCUUCUACGAAACUUUUACAGAUGAUUAUUGCAGAUAUGGAUAUAUCUACUUAAUCAAGAAAAAGUCAGAAACCUUUGAAAAGUUCAAAGAUUUUAAGAAUGAAGUGGAGAAUCAGCUGGGCAGGAAAAUCAAGAUGCUUCUAUCAGAUCGAGGAGGAGAGUACCUAAGUCUUGAGUUUCACGACUAUCUAAAAGAAUGCGGAAUCGUUUCGCAAUUGACGCCUCCGAGGACGCCACAAUUGAAUGGUGUGGCUGAGAGACGUAAUCAGACCUUGUUGGACAUGGUUCGUGCUAUGAUGAGUCGGACUUCGUUACCAAUAGAUUUCUGGGGAUAUGCCUUGGAGACUGCCACCCAUAUAAUUAACUUAGUUCCCACCUAGAAGGUUUCCAAGAGUCCUCACGAGAUGUGGACAGGGAAGGCUCCCUCGUUGGCACAUAUCAAGGUUUGGGGUUGUGAGGCUUUCGUAAGACGAGAGACUCACGACAAGCUAGAACCUCAUAGUGAGAAGUGUUAUUUCAUCGGCUAUCCACAUAAGUCUUUUGGCUACCUUUUCUAUAGAUCGAGUGACAAUGUUCUCUUCGUUGCUAGAAGAGGAGUUCUCCAAGAAAGGGAAUUGAUAAGCCAAGAAGACAGUGGGCGGAAAAUUGAACUUGAAGAGAUUCAAGAUCAAAAUGAUGAAGGAACCUCUGACAUUGGCACUCAACAUGAGGAGGAAACUCCUGUUGAACCUGUUGACGAGUCCUUACCUCUUCGACGUUCNUUUUCAUAUUACUACUGAAGGGGAUACAUUUAUUAGUGAUAGUACACUAGUAAAUUUGGAUGAACCUAGCAGCUAUAAGGAAGCCAUGGCAGGCCCAGAGUCUGCAAAAUGGAAAGAGGCUAUGGACAGCGAGAUUCAGUCCAUGUACGACAACCAAGUUUGGAAUUUGGUUGAUAAUGUACCGGGUCGUAAGACAGUUGGGUGCAAGUGGAUCUUCAAGAAGAAGACGAACAUGGAUGGGAAAGUGCAUACUUAUAAAGCGCAAUUGGUUGCAAAGUUCUUUACUCAAACUCCCGGAGUUGACUAUGAUGAGACCUUCUCACCAGUUGCGAAGAUAAAGUCUAUUAGGGUGAUGCUUGCCAUAGCUGCGUUUCAUGAUUAUGAAAUAUGGCAGAUGGACGUGAAAACCGCUUUCCUUAAUGGAAAGUUGGCUGAGGAUGUCUACAUGAAUCAGCCAGAGGGUUUUGUCGAUGUGAAGCAUCCAAAUAGAGUAUGCAAGCUUGAGAAAUCUAUUUAUGGAUUGAAACAAGCAUCUCGUAGAUGGAAUCUUUGUUUUGAUGAGAAGGUUAAAGAGUUUGGCUUUCUGCGAAGCGAAGAUGAAUCUUGUGUGUAUGUCAAAGCCAGUGGGAGUAUAGUAAGCUUUCUCGUAUUGUAUGUCGACGACAUACUACUCAUAGGAAACGAUGUCCCAACCUUGCAGGAAGUCAAGUCCUGGCUUGGGAAAUGCUUCGCUAUGAAGGACCUCGGAGAAGCCGCUUAUAUUCUGGGAAUAAGAAUAGUAAGAAACAGGGAAAAGAGACUGAUAGGACUCAGUCAGGAUACAUACUUGGAAAAGGUACUAAAGCGUUUUAGUAUGGAAAAUUCCAAGAAAGGGGAGUUGCCAAUCCAAAGCAAUACCAAGCUGAGUAAGACUCAGAGCCCGAGUACAGAGACAGAGAUAGCUGAUAUGAGCCGAGUACCUUACGCUUCCGCAGUAGGCUCUAUCAUGUACGCUAUGACUUGUACUCGCCCUGAUGUGGCCUUUGCUUUGAGCAUGGUCAGCAGAUAUCAAGGGAAUCCUGGUAGAGCUCAUUGGAUUGCAGUUAAGAAUAUUCUUAAGUACCUUCGGAUGACCAAGGAAUGGUUUCUAGUCCUCAGUGGGAGUGAUGAAUUAAGGGUACGAGGGUACAGUGACGCUAGUUUUUAGAUGGAUCGGGAUAACUUCCGAUCGCAGUCGGGCUGGGUCUUUACCCUAAAUGGAGGAGCAGUGACUUGGAAAAGUUCCAAGCAAGAGACUGUAGCUGAUUCAACAUGCGAAUCAGAGUAUAUUGUGGCGAGCGAAGCGUCAAAGGAGGCUAUAUCGUUGAAGAACUUCAUUGGAGACCUUGGAGUUGUGCCAUCGAUAAAAGAGCCGAUGUAAAUUUUAUGUGAUAAUGAAGGAGCGGUUGCCUUGACCAAGGAACCGAGAGAUCAUGGCAGAUCUCGACAUAUUGAUAGAAAAUACAAUUUCAUCAGACAUCGGGUAGAAGAGGGACUCCUCGUUGUGAAGAGGGUAUCAUCAGAAGAAAACCCAACAGAUCCCCUUACGAAGGGACUGAGUAGGGUCAAACACUUGCAUCACGCUAGGAGCAUUGGGCUGAAGGAUGAUAUAAGUUUGGAUUGGAUAGGAAAUGUGUAAUAGAUAGUUUGUACUUGACAUUCGAUGGGUAAAUAAAAUGUGUUAUUCAUGAGUAAAGCUACUAUCUUGUGUUGGUUAUUUAUCUAUUGUUUCCAUUUUGCAUGUUUUGACUUUCUAAAUGAUAGGAUUAUUCAAAAAGGUCCACAGUCCAUCAUAUUUUGGAAGUAGAUAUGAAUGAAGACUGUCAUGAAUUGUUUGUAGAUUGUCUAAAAGGUUUUGGACAUAGUAAAGGUUUGCUGCAUAGUUCAUGAGUGCUUAUGAAUAUGAGUUGAGCAUUGGAUUAAACCCGAGUUUGCUGUAUCCCUUAUCUAAAGGACAAGUUGAUCAGAGUUGACAGUGAAGUAUAAGAGCUACAAUUGCUAAUCGGAUUCUAAAGUCAUAUGUGAGAUAUAGUUACUAGACUUAUCCAAGUGGGAGACUGUUGGAAUAGUGUCUAAGCCCGUAACUAUAUUUGGUAUGUACUUGACCCGGUUGUGCAAGGUCCUUUUGGGUUGCCUUCUCCAAAGCAACUUCACAAGGUAAUUUAAGGAGAGAGAGAGAGAGAGAGAGUAUUAUGAUUUAUUAAUAUAUUAUAAGAAUAAUAUAUUAAAGGAGAAAUCAUAUUUAUUUAAUCAGUAUUGGUCAUAUAUUAAUCAGGAAUUAAUUUGGUGAUCAAAAGAGAUUAAUUGAAUAAUGGGGUAUAAACUGUCAAAUGUAUGGUAGUUGAGUUUUAGGUUAACGAAACCUAAUGGGCUUAAGGGGGAACGAAAUUAUGAUGGGUAUCCACCUUAUUUUCGUCCAAGGCCUUAUUCCAGAAGGUUCCUCGGGCUGCUGGGUGGCUAAGCUGUCCAUUAGGGUUUAGACUGAAACCCUAGUAACCUGCAAGUAUAAAUAUGACCCCUAGGGCAUUGAAUUCAGCUAGCACUUGAUUCUAAGAGAUCCCUAGGACGAUUUCUAGCCUCUCUCUCUCUCUCUCUCAUAUUGCCUUCUUGAUUGUGGGGUUUAUGAACCAUUAGAGGAGUUGCAUUUGUGACUCUAAGCUCAAGAGAAGAAGAAAGAGAAGAUCUAAGCCAACAAGUGAAGAGGUAAACAUCUAGAUCUGAUUCUAUAUGUUAUUUUUGUUGUUUAUAUGCUAGAUUAGGGUUUGUAAGUCUUGGAAUCAAAGCAUGUUCAAUAGAGAAACCUAGAUCCAAGCAUUAGGGUUUGUAUGAGCACAUAGGAAUGUUUCUUAUGCAUAAAACCCAUCAGUUUUCAAUUAGUAUUGUUCAAUUGUAUGAACUUGACAAAUUAGGGUUUAUAGCCAACGAACCCUAGGAGGCCAUAGAUUUCGAGAUUAGGGUUUCCUAACCCUAAUUUGCGAAAAUCUUGAAAGGGUUUUUUGAAUCCUUUCCUUUUAAUCCAAGAUUUCGAAAUCUAGGGUUUGCAAACCCUUAGAUUUCGAGAUUUGCCUCCUUCCCCAAUAUAAGAUCCUAAAUUUUAGGGAUUUGGAUAAUCCCAUAUCUUGUAAUUAUCGUUUAAAAGUUAAAUAUGGUAAUUAAAGAUUUUGAAUUAUCCCCUCCCAUUAUUUUCGAAAUUUAGAAGGAUAAAAGGGAUUAGGAUAAGUUAAUUGUUUUAAUGGUAAUUAUCCUCAUGAUUUAGAUAAUCCCUUAUGAUUUAAUAAUUUAAAUUAAUUGUUUAAUUUGUGAUAAUUAUUAAAUCAAGAGUUUUAAUAUUUAAAAAUUUAAUUUAAAUAGUAUUAAAUUUCAAAAAUUUUAAAUUGAAGAUUAAAACCCUAGUAUUUUUGAAAUGUUUAAAAUACACCCUAUAGUAUUGUAUUAUUACAAGCUUAAUAAAUAUAUAUGUAUAAUUAAAAUGCUAGUCUUACCGUUAGUAGGCCUCAUUCACGAAGUCGGUCUAUAAGGUGGGUAUAAGGUUGCUUCCUAUAAAAUGGCGCUUAAUGGGUGUACACUCCCACCCACCGCUUGCUUGACUGGUGGAGGGUCAUUAGCCGAACGGGUAGGAUAGGGCAAUCCUCUCCUCAUUAAUAAGUAUAAUGAAUCUAUAUAAAGUAAGUAAACAUUUUUUUUUAAUUCCCAAUCCUAGUUACUUUAGGCAAAAGUGAAAUUGAUGCAACCCCAUGAAAUUACACUUUGCACCCUUGCUAAGAAGUUAGUGGAGCGCAUGUGUUUUACCGGCACACUAAUUAGUUCUAAGUAAACAUGGUGAAGGGUGAUUCAUUGUUUGUCAUAGUUCGAUGGAGCGUGUGUGGUUUACCGGCACAUCGAAUAGGUGACUGUAAAAAUGAAGGCACCAUGUAGAUUUGCAUGGUUAUUCACACCCACUUUGUGAUCCUCGGCAUCCCAGUCACAAACGAGAGGGGCAUAUCGAGAUUUAAACAUGCCAUUGAAAGGUUCAAUGAAUCUCAAGAAAAAUCUAGGAAUUCUAAAUACAUUUAAAACUUAAGCUUAUGUUUUACAUGGUGAAGAAUUAGUGAAUCGUCAUUCACUUACCACCAAUUUAUUUGCGUGUUGAAUUACAGCAUACCUUUUCUAAUAGGUAAAUAAUGUUGUUGGGCCCUAGCCCUAAUUUUUUAUUUUGGGAGUUUAAUUAGGGAUUCAAUUCUAAUCAAACUUUGUCCUUUCUAUUUGUAGAUGUCUAACGCAAACAACGUUUCAGCUAGCUCAUUCACGCUAAUGAGCCUUUGUCAAAAAGUGACUUUCGAUGGAUUGAACCUUAGUGAAUGGAUAAGAUACAUUCGCACUAUCGCGCGUUAUGAGGACAAAGAGUAUGUUCUCGAUGAAAAGCUCGAGAAGAUCAAUCCGGAAACUGCUACUCCCGAAGAGAUGGUUGUCUUUGAGACCCAUGAGCAUGAUGUAACGAAAGUUCAUUGCAUCAUGAUAGCCACAAUGAACUCCGAAUUCCAAAAGUUCUAUGAGGACGUGUAUCCCUAUGAAAUGCAUAAAGACUUGAUGGAGAGAUAUCACCAAAGUGCGAGGCAAUAGAAUUAUGAGAUCAUUACGAAUAUGAUCACUGCUAAAAUGGGAAGUGGAGAGUCUCUAACCGUGAACUUGCAAAAGAUGCAAAGGUAUCUUGAUCGUCUUCCCAAGUUGAAUGUCAACUUUGGGGAAGAUUUGGCUAUCGACAUUGUUCUUCACUCCUUGCCCUCAUGCUACAACCAAUUUAGGAUGACCUACCACAUGAACAAGAAAGAGGUCACCCUAAGCAAACUGCAAGGGCUCCUAAGGACUGCUGAGAGAAACCUUAAGGACAAGUCUGUUGCACCACCUCCUAAUCCAUCCGCUGCUCCUGUUUUGGCUAUAGGGCAGGGAAGGGGCAAGAAGAGGAAGGCUCCAUCAAGGGAAAAUCCCAAGAUGGUUCCUCUUCUAGUGGGACCAAGGUUAAUCCUGCUAAGCCCAACCCUAACCUAAAGGAGGCAGAGUGCCAUCAUUUCCGCAAAAUAGGGCAUUGGAAGAGAAGCUGCCCGGAAUAUCUGCAAGCGAUCAAGGAUGGAAAGAUCAAGCCAUCUUAUGCAGAUAUAUACACAAUUAAAUCUAAUGAUUCAUCUCAUUCUAUUUCUUUGGUUCUUGAUACAGGAUGUGGUUACCACAUUUGUUCUGAUUUGCAGGGACUAGGAAGAAAUAGGGAUGUGGAGCUUGGAAGAAUAAAUCUAAUCAUGGGGAACAGAAGAACGUCAGCUGUUACCAAGAUUGGAGUGUCUUCUUUAGUGCUUAGUAAUGGAUUGAAUUUAGAUUUAAAUAAUUGUUGUUACUUGCCAGAUAUGGCAAGAAACAUCAUUUCUUUUCAUGGUUUGUUUAGACAAGGAUUUAGAUAUUUGUUUAACAAUGAGAAUGGUUCAAUUUAUGCUUCUCUAAAUGGUGUUUUAUAUUUUGAAGCAAUGCGUUGUAAUGGAAUUUAUGAAACUAUUAUGGUUGUAGAUAACCUAGGAAAUGAUGUGUUGUGUAUGGAUUCUUCCAAUAGUAUGGAUAAAGCAUCUUUGUGGCAUUGUCGUCUUGGAAAUUAAAACAAGAAGCGCAUAGCCCAACUCCAAAAGGAUGGAGUGUUGGAGUCAUUGGACCUUAGGGACGAUGACACGUGCGAGUCUUGUUUACUUGGAAAGAUGACCAAGUCAUCCUUCACUGGGGCUUGUGAGAGGGGUGAGGGUUUAUUGGAUCUCAUACACACCGACGUGUGUGGGCCCUUUAGAUCCACCACAAAGGAUGGGAACCGCUUCUACGUGACUUUCACCGAUGAUUAUAGUAGAUAUUGGUAUAUUUACUUAAUCAAGCACAAGUCAGAAACGUUUGAAAAGUUCAAAGAGUUCAAGAAUGAAGUGGAGAAUCAAUUGGGUAGGAAAAUCAAGAUGCUUCGAUCCGAUCGAGGAGGAGACUACCUAAGUAUUGAAUUCCACGACUAUCUCAAGGAAUGCGGAAUACUUUCGCAAUUGAAGCCACCUAGGACACCGCAAUUGAAUGGUGUGGCAGAAAGGUGUCACACCCCGAAAACCAAAGGCGGAAACAUUUCUGGGGUUGACUCCACGUUGAAUAUCAAAUCCAAUGCACAUAGUAAAACAGUAAACACAAAACACUACAUUACACAAUAUUGUUUACAUCUGUUUGAAAGAAAGGUUAUACAAGUGUUAUAUACAUAUAUCAUAUGGAAAAAAGCAAAGACGAGUCUUCGAAACGCUCCAUCUUCUCCGAAAGGUGGCGGUGUACCUGUCUAACGCUGACCUGAGAAUACAAGUGGUUUGAAAAUCAGCAUAAAGCUGGUGCGUUCAUAAGCGGUUUAGUUUUGAAAAGAACGAGUUUCCUUUGCUUUCUGAAAAAGUUGUUGUUCAAGAAAGUCCCAUAUUUUCUUAUGAAAACGGUUUAGUUAUCCUUUGUUACAAUUUCGAAAAUGGUUUGUUAUGUCAUUUCAGGAAAAUCCCAUAUUUUCCCAAUAAUUUUAGUUAUUCGUUUAUUACUUUAUUCAUUUAUGUGUUGUUAUGCUAUCCAGGAAAAUCCCAUAUUUUCCCUAUGUGUUGAGUUGUCUAUUUGUUUCUAAGUUCGUUACUAGUUGUUAUGUUAUCUCAAGAAAAUCCCAUAUUUUCCUAUGUGUUGAGGUUGGUUCUUAGGUUUGAUUUCGAAGUACUAAUAAUUACCAUACUUGUACUAUAAGUUAAGUAUUCUAAACUCUUAGUUAUCCUACAUUCGAAUGUCUAUCAUCUACUAACUUAGUUGUAUUUUCGUAUAUUUGGAUUCACCAGAAACGUACAUUACAGUAUUUUCGAUUAUUCUGGUGGUUUCCAAAAGAGUACAUUAGUUGUAUUUUUGUAUCUCUAACGACAUUCUAAGGUGGAUGUAUUCGAAACUCAGUAGAGGUCCACAGGCAUACUUUUGUAUUAAAUUCGAAAAUCUGGUGACAUUCAAGUCGUACACUAACUGUAUAUUCGAAAUCUUGAUGUCAUCCAAAGGCGUUAUUUCGCAUUCGUAGUCCUAUUUCUAUUCGUAUCCGUAUUUGUACUAUCCUAUUGGUUAUAUUCGUAUUCGUAUUCGUAUUCGUACUAUCCUAUUGGUUAUAUUCGUAUUCGUAUUCGUAUUCAUACUGUCCUAUUGGUUAUAUUCGUAUUCGUAUUCGUAUUCGUAUUCGUAUUCAUUCUAUCCUAUUAGUUAUAUUCGUAUUCGUAAUCGUACUAUCCUAUUGGUUAUAUUCGUAUUUGUAGUCGUACUCGUAUUAUCUUUAGUUUAUGUUUAGUAUGAUUUCUUUUACAAAAAGUAAUAUAGUUUAUAACACUUUAAAAGAAAUAUGUAUUUAACCUGCAACUCGAAACAUCAGUUAUCACAAUCUUUGAAAACCAAGACAUUCAAAAAAUAAAACCAUUAAGUUGAAAAUCAGUUUAAGUACAAGAUACACUUGUACUUUUGCUUGUAUUCCCCCCUGAAAACAUUGAAAAACACAUAAAAAGGGUAGGGGUAUGAACUCACCGGUUGAGAAACGCGUCGGUUUGGAUCCUAAAAGUCAGUUAUGGGUACGCGAAUGCACAAGAUUCCUAUGGAUUAUCAAAUGAUAUACAUUUGUAUCUAAUUAGAAUUUGAUUAAUUUAUUUGUUAGGGACAUACACUCCUAGUUGCGGAAACACCCCAUUUCGAGUGUUUGGAAGGACCCGGGUGGUGUUUAAGGACUUGUAUGACUAGGGAAUGGAGUUUACUCUUCAAGAGUAAACUUUUUAAGGAGUUUACUACCCUAAACACCUCAUCCAUAUGAGUUCACAGCCGUGAACUCAUGGAGGUUGAUUUUGGGUGCAAAAUGGCUUAAUAACACUCGGGAAUAAUUGCUAGACUUGGGUUUUUGGCUUUAGAAUAGAUUAUAACACACAUAGGGACCAUUUAUUGGAGUUUACGGCUGUAAACAUGGAGUUUAUGGCCGUAAACUCCCCCCUCACAUCCAAUUCUUAAAGUUUUGGUGCUAAAUCAAUCACACAUGAUUCUAAUGAUUUUUCCUAAGCCUUGUAUCAAUUUUUGGGGGACUUUUGGCAUGCUUUUAGGAGUUUACGGCCCAUGAACACCCUCAUGGCCGAGAACUCUUAUGAAAGAGUGAUUUUAUAUGUUUUAAGGUCCAAUACUUGUUUGUAAACAAUUCUAGAAUUUAUCCCAAGGCUUUAGGUGUGUUAAAGUGGCAUUUUAACACAUUUAGAGGAGUUUAAUCCCCAAGAGUAUGCGUUUACGGCCCAAGAAUGUUCUUGGGCAAUAAAAUCAAGUUUACUCCUCUAAAUUUAUGUUCAAGGUGUUCCAAGGCCAAUUCCAAUAUUCUAAAAUUCAUAUCUAAGCUUUAAGGGUAUUUUGGAAGGGUUUAAGAGCAUAAAAACCCCAUUUAUAUGAGUUUACGGCCCAAUCAUGUUCUUGGGCAGUAAACUCAUGUUUACUCUUCAAAAUCCAUGUUAAAGGCAUUCUAAGUCCAGUCCAUUAAGCCAUUAAGCCAUAUCUAAGCUCCAAAGGCCGAUUGGAAGAGUUUUUGGGCUCCAAAACCCAUUUUAUAUGAGUUCACGGCCUAGGGCUGUUCCAGAGCCGUAAACUCAUGAAUGUGGUCCUAUUCCAUGAUUUGAACUCGAAUUUGAAGGCUAGAGGGGUUGCAUAACAAGUUAGGGAAGGUACCUUGGUUAUUAGAAGCCUUAAAUUUGAGAUUUGGACCCUUAAACAUGGAUUUAGGAGAGAGGUUAGAGAGAGAGUAGAGAGAGGAAGCAAAAGCUUCAAAUGAAUUUUUAAACACGUUUAAAUAGGUCCCAAAACUUGGACACGGAGGAAUUCUACCCGAUACAGGCAUUAAACGGGGCUUUUGGUCGCACCCGAUAAAGUUUUCGUAACUCGGCGGGGACGUUUCUAAAAUUUCUUAAAUGAACAUUUUUGGGUUAAUUUCAUGAGUUCCUAAGGGGUUUGGACACUCAUUAGAUUAUAAUAAACAUAUAAUUUUAAAUAAUUUAGCCCAAAAUGAAAUCGGAACGAAUCGAUAAACGGCGAAUUUUUACGGGUAAAACGGGUUUUCGACGAUGGAAAAUUUCGGGUUGUUACAAAAGGCAUAAUCGAACCUUGUUAGACAUGGUCCGUUCUAUGAUGAGUCGUGCUUCACUGACUAUCUCAUUAUAGGGGUAUGCCUUAGAGACUGCCGCCCAUAUCCUUAACCGAGUCCCUACAAAGAACGUUGCCAAAACACCUCAAGAGAUGUGGACAGGGAAGGCUCCCUCGUUGGCACAUAUCAAGGUUUUGGGUUGUGAGGUCUUCGUAAGACGAGAGACUCAAGACAAGCUUCAAACUCGUAGUGAUCGAUGUAUUUUCAUCGGCUACCCGCAUAGAUCCUUUGGAUAUCUCUUCUAUAUACUGAGUGUGAAUGUUGUCUUCGUUGCGAGGAGAGGGGUUUUCCGAGAGCGAGAACUCAUAAGCCAAGGAGACAGUGGGAGGCACAUCGAUCUUGAAGAGAUUCAAGUAUCGAGCGAUGAAGGAACCUCUACCGUUGGCGCUCAACCCGAGGAGGAAACUCCAGUUGAACCAAUUGACCAGUCCUUACCUCUUAGACGUUCCGAAAGAGAGUCAGAGUUCAACACCAGUUGUAUGGUUUUCAUAUUACUACUAAAGGGGACACGUAUAUUAGUGAUAGUACACUAGUAAAUCUAGAUGAACCUAACAGCUAUAAGGAAGCCAUGGCAAGACCAAAGUCUGUAAGAUGGAAGGAGGCGAUGGACAGCGAGAUUCAGUCCAUGUAUGACAACCAAGUUUGGAAUUUGGUUAACAAUGUGCCCAGACGUAAGAUGGUUGGGUGCAAAUGGAUCUUCAAGAAGAAGACCGAUGUGGAUGGGAAUGUGCACACGUAUAAGCCACGACUGGUGGCGAAGGGCUUUACUCUCACUCCCGGAGUUGACUAUGAUGAGACCUUCUCACCAGUUGCUAAGAUAAAAUCUAUUAGGGUGAUGCUAGCCAUUGCUGCAUUUCAUGAAUAUGAGAUAUGGCAAAUGGAUGUCAAGACCACUUUCCUUAAUGGGAAGUUGGCUGAGGAUGUUUACAUGGCUCAGCCAGAGGGUUUUGUUGAUCCAAAGCAUCCCAAUAGAGUGCGUAAGCUUGAGAAGUCCAUUUAUGGACUUAAGCAAGCAUCUCGCAGAUGGAAUCUUUGCUUUGAUGAGAGAGUCAAAGAGUUUGGAUUUGUACGAAGCGAAGAUGAAUCAUGUGUAUAUGUCAAGGCCAGUGGGAGUAUAGUUAGCUUCCACGUUUUGUAUGGCAAUGACAUACUGCACAUAGGAAACGGCAUCCCGACUCUGCAGGACGUUAAGUCCUAGCUCAGGAAGUUCUUCGCUAUGAAGGACCUCGGAGAGGCUUCCUAUAUUUUGGGAAUAAAGAUAGUGAGAGAACGAAGUAAGAGACUAAUAGGACUUAGUCAGAAUACUUACUUGGAUAAGGUACUAAAACGUUUUAGUAUGGAAAACUCGAAGAAGGGAGAACUAGCGAUACAGAGUAAUGCCAUGUUUAGUAAGACUCAAAGUCCGAGUACCGAAGCCGAGAUAACAGAGAUGAGCCGAGUACCUUACGCUUCCGUAGUUGGCUCGAUCAUGUAUGCUAUGACUUAUACUCGCCCUGAUAUGGCCUUUACCUUGAGCAUGGUCAGUAGAUAUCAAGGGAACCCGGGCAAAGCUCAUUGGAUUGCGGUCAAGAAUAUACUUAAGUACCUUCAGAGGACCAAGGAAUGGUUCUUAGUCCUCGGAGGGAGUGAUGAGUUCAAGGUGCGAGGGUAUAGUGACGUCAGCUUCUAGACCGUUCGCAGUCGGGCUGGGUCUUUACCCUAAAUGGAGGAGCAGUGACUUGGAAAAGUUCCAAGCAAGAAACUAUAGCUGAUUCAACAUGCGCAUCAGAGUACAUUGCAGCGAGCGAAGCGUCAAAGGAGGCGAUAUGGUUGAAGAACUUCAUUGGUGACCUUGGAGUUGUGCCUGCCAUAAAGGAGCCUAUGGAAAUUUUCUGUGAUAAUGAAGGAGCGGUUGCCUUGACCAAGGAACCGAGGGAUCAUGGUAGAUCUCGGCAUAUCGACAGAAAGUAUCACUUUAUUAGACAUCGAGUAGAAGAAGUACACCUCGUGGUUAAGAGGAUAUCAUCAGAAGAUAACCCAGCAGACCCGCUUACGAAGGGAUUGAGUAGGGUUAAGCAAUUGCAACACGCUAGGAGCAUUGGGCUGAAGGAUGAGUAGGGUUAAAUGUAAUUAACAUUUUGAUGAUUAAAUAAACGAGUAUUAUUUAUAAGUAAAGUUACUGUCUUGUGUUGAUUGUUUAACUAUUGUUUCAAUUUGCAUGUUUUGACUUCCUGAAUAAUUGAGUUAUUAAGAAUAAUCGAAUUACUCGAAUGGUCCACAAUCAUUCAUAUGUUGGAAGUAGGUAUGAAUCAAGAUUGUCAUGAAUUGGUAUGUAUAGUGUCCAAAAGGUAUUAGACAUAGCAAAGGUUUGCUGCAACAUUCAUGAGUGCUUAUGAACAAGUUUUGAGCAUUGGAAUAAACCCGCGCUUGCUGGAAUCAUUUUAUGGAAUGUGACAAAAAGUUAUCGCAAGACGAUAAUGUCAUAUGGUCUUAAAACCUAGAUAUAUUGUUUAUUAUUUACUAAUUGGUUGUGCAUUGAUAAUGCGAAACCACAUCAGUAAAUUGAUGUUAUAAAACGCAUUGUUGUGUAUAGUUGAUUAGUGGAUAAGUAAAUGCAUAUAAGUCGAAGUUUAUCUGUUACUUUUAUCCUAAGAGGGUAAAAGCGAUAUCACGGCCGCUCGAUGAUUUAAUUUGACUUAUGUUUCGGGCCCGGUCAGGACUGAAUUGGUGUGUUCAAUUGAUUUCUAUGUCAAAUGAAUCUUAGAUUGAGAAACCAACUGUUGGACAAUUAGUUCCGUGAGAUUGUAUGCACAAUAUCUAAACAGAGGACUAUACGAUCCCUUAUCUAAAGGACAGGAUACUGAUGAGAUCAGAGAUCGAUAGCGUCUUUGAGAGCUAUGAUUGCUAAUCGAGUUGUACGUUAAAUUUGUGGUUAAUAGACUUAUUUAAGUGAGAGACUAUUGGAUUAGUGUCUAAGCCUGUAACCAUAUUUGGUAAAUACUUGACCCGGUUGUGCAUGGUCCUUUUGGGUUGCCUUCACCAAAGCAACUUGACUGGAGAAAUAAAUAGAGAAAGAGGUUACUAUGAUUUAUUAAUAUGCUAUAAGUAUAAUAUAUUAAAGGAGAAAUCAUAUUUGUUUAAUUAAUAUUGGUCAAUAAUUAAUUAGGAAUUAAUUUUGUGAUCAAGUGUAAUUAAUUAAACUAGAGGUGCUGAAUUGUAAUUAUGUGAUAGUUGCAAAGUAGGGCAAUAAUUAUCCUUGUUAAAGGAUGAACGAAUUCAAGGAUAAGGAUAUCCUUGAAAUCGUCCAAGGUCCAAGAGAUAAGGGUUUUUCAAGGCUUAUCUUGUGGUUGCUUGGUGGGCAAGUAACUGGAUAAGGAUAAGGACUGAAACCCUAAUCCCAACCCUAUAUAAAGACACCUAGGCCUUAAGCAUUCGUCCACUUGCUUCUAAGAGCUCCCAAGGACGAUUUCUACCUCCUCCCUUCUCUCUCUGUAGCCUCUCCAAUUGCUUGUGGUGUUUUUGAUCCAUUAGAGGCACUACACUUGUGGUGCUUGCUUUCAAGACUAAGGGUUUGAAGAUUUAAGUUGUUAUUGCAAUAUAACAACAAGAGGUAUGUGAUCUAACCUUCUAUGAGAUUUUCGAAAAUAGCAUGCUACAUUAGGGUUUUAUCCAUGUGUUCAUAAUGUUGUGUAUCUAAUAGUGAAAACAUAGAUCCAAAUUAGGGUUGCAUGCGCACAUAGGAUUGUUUGCAUAAAACCCAUCAAAGGUAUACUUUCGUUGAUACUUGUACAUUUCUAGUAACUAUUAUAGGUAUAGUUAGGAGAUACUACUUGCUAUUCCUAUUACAAGGAAUUACACCAGAGUCAGUUCAUUCAUGAGUCCAUACGGAUACAUGUUGCUUGUAGAGAUACACUUACUUGGAUACACUUACAUGGAUACACUUACUUGGAAACACUUACAUGAAGACCUUUACAUAAAUACCUUGUUGAAAGCAUGACUGUAUAUGUAUAGUUAUAUAAAUAAUGUUUAAAGGACUUAGGAAGGCUAACCCGCUUUAUUUCCUUUUCCCUGUUGGGAUGUGGUCUGGUAGGUUAUCGGGUAUCCGUCCAAAGGUAGUUUAAAUAUUAGUUAUAUAUCAUGUGUACAUAUAUAGACAUAAUAGUUCUAAUCAGUCGGUUGAGUACCUUUGGGUAGCAAAGGUAUACGUUCAUAUAUCCCUAGUGAGCUAUUAUAGGUAUAGUUUGGGCUUAGAUAUAUGAUUUGGUAACAAAUAUGGAUUUCGACCUAGCGAUUCAUUGCGGAAAUCACCUUUAGUUCCAAAUGUAGAAUAGGAACUACCAAUCAUAUUAUUACUUACUUACAGCGGGUCUCGCGAGAAGACUACUUACUUACAGCGGGUCUCGUGAAAAGACUACUUACUUAUAGCGGGUCUUGUGAGAAGACUACUUACUUGCUUACUUUGUUUCACUUAGGUCUUGGUAGAAGACUACUUUCAAAACAGUAGGGUCUUGGUAGAAGACUACUUUCAAAACAGUAGAGUCUUGGUAGAAGACUUCUUUUAUAAGGAUCAUAGGGAUUUCUAGGUUUAUUCAAACGUUUUCCAUUACUUACAAACAUUUUCAUACUUAUACGAAUUUCUUUGAAAACAAUGUCAAGAGUUUCAUUACAAGUUUUACAAAUCAAAGGCACAUUAAUAUUUAUGAAUUGACCAGCUUUUUGGCUGAUACUCGCUUUCAAAAUAACUUGUAUUCUCAGGUCACAAAUAGAUAGGUACGACGACCAGGUUUGUGAAGAGCAGUCCAGNUUUGUGAAGACGGAGCAGUCCAGACUCGUCUUAUUCUGAUUAUUCAUUUUAUUGUUGUAUAUUAUGAAAGAACACACUUGUAACUAAAAUUAUACUAUUAAUGAAAUGGAUAAUGUUGUUGCUUGUUUAUCACUUUACAUUGUUAUGAUACAUUACAUGACGUCCUCCGCGCCAGAACGUUUCCGUCAUUCUCGGUUUUGGGGUGAGACACAUAUGCUCCCCAAUUAAGGAGAUUCGGCAUACAAAAACGGUCAUGGAAGGAAGUGCCAUGACCCGUUUAAUGGUUCACAUAACUGCAUUAAUGUACAUGUAAUUAAUGUGCUAACUGUAAAGUGUACUCUUUCUCUGUCUAGCCUGUAUGUACUGUAAUGUUCUGCAUGUGCUACCUGUAAUGUAUGUUCUCUCUAUCUAGCAUGUAUAGUAAUGUACCGUGUGUACUAGUUGUAAUGUGUGUUCUUUCUAUCUAGCAUGUAUAGUAAUGUAUUGUGUGUACUAGUUGUACUGACUCAUGAAUGAACUGACUCAUUGUAUGUUUCAUUGUGCGAGUAAUAGUGUUAGUAUCUUCGUAUGCUACCCUUAUGGUAGCUUACUAGUAAUGUAUGAUCAUGUUUGUGAAACCCUUGCUACCAAAAGGUAUGGAACUGGUUGAAAGAACUUUUAUAUCUAUAUAUGUAUACAUAAUAUAUAACUAAUAUAUAGACGACCUUCGGACGGAUAACCGAUGCCCUAAAGCCACAUCCCAACGAGGAAAAGGAGAUAAUCGAUGCCCUACUAUACAUACAUAGGCAUGCAUUUGAUAAUAAGUAUCAAAGAGUUCAAUUAAAAGUGUUUGACAAGUAUAAGAGUUUGUAAAACAAUUUGAAGUAAAACAGUUUAGUAAACAGUUUGAACAGUAAGAAAAUCAUUUGUUUUGUAGCUAUUAAUCACAUGUGAUUGAUGUAAUAACUAUAAGUAUUUAACUUGUAUUUCCCCCAUAAAAGCAUUUAAAAACAUUUAAACCAUUGAUUAAGGGGUAUGAACUCACCUGUAGUGCGUGGUACGGAUGAACUGAAGAUGUAGGAUUGCUAGGUGUCAAGUGAAGUCUUGAACACACUCUAUGAUCCUAGAUAACAUAUAAUAUCACAUAUAUGUAUCCAAUUAGUAUUUAAACAACUAACAAACAAAGUUAAAACACCCUAGGACAUGCUAAACACCUUAUACAAGUGUUAUAAGUCCCAAUGAUUGCAUCUAAGUGUUGUAGGGAAAGGCUAGUGUGUUUGAGGUUCAUGGAAAACUCCAUUAGGGAGUUUACCAUUUUGUGGUCACAACCAAAUUUACGGUUGUAAACCCUUGAGUUUACGGCCGUAAUCUCACACACUUUUGACCAUUUGUGUUUUGAAGCCUUAAAAGUCCCUAGAAGCUUUUCUACUUGAAAUAUGUGAAUNAAAGUCCCUAGAAGCUUUUCUACUUGAAGUAUGUGUCUAAGGAAGGAACUAGGGAACCAUUUCACUCCUAUUUGGAGUUUACGGUUCCUAAACCAUUUUCCUUUGAGUUUACUACCAUAAACUCAUAAGUUUUAUGGUAUUUUGGGGCUUUUCAAAUCCAUAUCUCAUCAAAGAAUGGAUCCAUGUUAGUUACUAAGGCAUAGGAAGGAAUAUGGGUCAUUUAUACAUACUUUGGGGUGCUUACGGUUUUGGGAGAUCCCCAAACCGUAAACCCAUAUAAAUGAGAUCUUUUUGUGCCAUUUUAAGUGAUAGACACAUCAAGGAAGGAUUUAGACAUGUCCCAAAGGCAUUGUGAAGGACUACGACACCCUAAGGCACCCUUUGGCACCUUUGCUUGGUGUUAACGGUUCAUAAACUUCUUGAACCGCGAACACCUUGUUCUUGGUGUUCUUGGGACAUUUCCUUGAUGUAAAGAUGUAUAACGAGCUUUAUAAGACUCUAGGAUAGAAGUACUUACUAUAUGGAAGCUUGAAAUGAGCUAAAAAUCCAAGAACACUAGUGUGUGUUCUUGGUGUUCUUGGUGAAAAUGGAUAAAUCAACCUUUUGGAAUGAUUUCAUGGUUAGAAGUGUGUUAAAACACUAGAUCAAAGCAUAUAAUCACUUAAGAAAGAUAGAAUCACUUACUAGUUUGAAGAUCUUGAAAAUCUUUUGGAUGAUACUUGAGAGAGAAUGAGUUUUGGAUCUUGAGAUUUUCGAAAAAGUGUAAAUAAUGACAAGUUCUCAUAUAUAUACUCUCAGAUUUAGGGUUUUUGGCAGAAAAUAUUUUAUUCUGGCAGUAAACUCUAAUUUCUUAGAGUUUUGGAAUAACAGUGUUGCACAAUAACCCUAGUGCAUCCUCUCUCCUGAUAUCUCUAAUGUGCGAAUCCUGAAAUACUCAAACAUAUUCUAAAAAGUCUGAAAAUUUACAGCAACUGUUUUGACUUCUAUUGACCUUAUAUGUUUGUACAGAAUAGAAAUUUCGGGUUGUCACAAAUAGAACAGCCAUGCACAUCGGGUCUACUAUGUGACUGGUCCGCUCGCGUCGGGGCUUCAGUCCACCUGGUCCACCCUCUGAGUCUAGCCAUGUACAUCGAGUCUACAGUAUGAGUGGACCGCCCGCACCGGGCCUUCAAUCCACCUGGUCCACUCUCUGAGUCUACAGUAUGACUGGUCCGCCCACACCGGGCCUUCGGUCGGCCUGGUCCACUCUCCGAGCCUCAACAUGUUUGGUCCACCCUCUUGGGGCCUUAAACCUAUCCAAACAGCUAGUUGGGCCUUCGGAAUAUCCGGUUCGCCCUAGGUAUGUUAGCCUACAGCAUAAAGCAGGACCCGCCUCAACCCAACCCCCGUCAAACAACAAUGUGCACAUAAAACAAUUUAUCACAUAACAAAUCCUUAACCAGAUAAACAGUCUAACAGAUCUCAUAGCAUAUCAACAUCCUAACCAGGAUUCCGACCUAACCGGUCACUUGCAUAACAUUACCCCAUAUACCGGGUACCAACCUUAACCAGGUUACUAAUAUAACAUUACCCUAAAUACCGGGGAACGACCUUAACCAGGUCGCUAACAUAACGUCAUCCUAAAUACCAGGAUGCAGAUCUAGCAAACAAAUAACAUACCAAACAAUACCCGGAUUUCCAUCUAAUAAAGGGCCGCCUUGGUGCCAUAGACCCUGUCGAUAUAGUGAGGAUAAAUCACCUGCAAUUGCCGACUGGAGAGAUAAGACCAAGCUGCUCCGACCACUAACACGAACUUCACCAUAAACACUACCGAAGAACCAAUUCCAUAAAUACCAGAAUUACCAAAAUACCCUUAGAAGUCAAACUGGUCAACUCUUGGUCGAAGUCAAAGUCCUCAGUCAUAGUCAACCUUCCUGGUUGACUCUACUCGCCGAGUCAACCCGUCGAUUCGUCGAGUUCUUAUACUCAGAAAACUCCCAAAACACGACUCAACUCGCUGAGUCGCCCCAAGACUCGUCGAGUUCAACGAUAUUAGAAUUCCAUACUGUCCAACUCACUGAGUCGCCAAUCGCCUCACUAAUCCAAAUCUUUAACCAAAAGAGGUUGGGUUCUGCGACCAGACUCGUCGAGUCCAAGAACAGACUCACCAAGUCCAACGCAAACUUCAACAGACUCACCGAGUUGUUCUUCCAACUUGCCGAGUCCAUGCACAUGUUCGUACAACUCAUCGAGUACACCCCUAUGACUCGUCGAGUCUCUCCAUUUUCUCAAUCCAUAUAGUGGAUUUUUGAGCCAUGCAGGGUGUCAUGGACCAAGUUUCUGGAAAAUUCCACGAUCGUCUAGAGAACUCCGGAACGAUCAAGUAUAUUCGAGAAGUCUCUGGAGAGAUCAGGAAUGCUCUACGAGACCCUGUAAGAUGCUAGAAUAUUGUAGAUGUCCGUUGAACAAAGGAGAAGGAUCCGAAAUAAUCAAGAGGACGCUAGACGAAGCUAGAACGACCCGGAAGACUUUGGAAGGAUCUAGAACAUGCUAGAUCAUACAAGAAUGAUUUGGAUAAUGUCGGGAAGACUUAGAGAUUUCUAUAGAAUCGUAUACAAGUUUACAAUAUUCUAGAGUCUUGUAAAAUCAAUGUAUAUAAUAGGAAGAUUCUAUAUUAGUCAUGAAUGAUCGGGACCUAGAAACUUCCAUUUGAGGAGGUGUAAGGUUCCUAUAAAUAGGGGGAGGACUCAUUUGUAGAAACCAUUAAGAAGUUGCUUUGUAAAGAAGUUGAGUUAUAUAAUAGAAGCUUUAUUGAAGUGUCCCUUGUCGUAACUCUUGCUUCCUAAGUUUGUUAGUACAUCUACAUCGUCGAAGUUAGCCUGACUUAGUCGGAGAAGCACUAAGUGGCACACGGUAUUGACUAGUCUAAAAGAGUCAUCCCGUGACACGUGGUAUCAGAGCCAGGUUCGAGCAAGCAAGAGACCAUUACGAUGGAAGCAGCAAAUGAAGUAUUCAACAUUCCCCCUGUCGUCGAGGAGAAAGGAAGGAAGUCCAAGAAGAGGGAUCAAUCGGUAGAUGCCUUGGCAAGCUUAGAAAACAAGCUUACAAGGACAAAGAUUAACGUCGGUGAGAUCCUUGAAUGGAAGGAUACCGUCGAUCAAUUCGUUGCUGAGAUAAGUGACAUGAGCGAUGGAUUGAAGGAGACCAUCGGUGUCAUCAAGGAAGAAGUCCUUGGACUUAUCAACACCCUGCGGAGUGAGUUCCGUGAGAAGGUAGAUGCAUUACAAGCCGAAGUAAACCUAUGCAAGGCAGCAAUCACUGGAGGGACCAUUGCAAGAACGUUUCCGCACACAGAAGCACCCAAAUCAUUAAAGUAUGGAGGUAAACGCGCACCCAAAGAACUUGACGAAUUCUUUUGGUUGAUGGAAUGCUACUUCAAUGCUAGUCAAGUGAAGGACGACAAGACGAAGGUAGAUACAACCAUACAUUAUCUAUGCGAGAGUGCAACUCUAUGGUGGCGAUGGAAGCACGGUGAUACUGAAAAAGGAUUAUAUACCAUAGACACAUGGGAAGAAUUCAAGAGGCAACUCAAGAGACAAUUCUACCCACAUAAUGCUGAAGACAUAGUGAUGAAGAAACUUCAUGGGCUAAAGCAUACGGGAUCCAUCCGAGACUAUAUAGUCGAGUUCACGAGCUUGAUGCUAGAGUUACCCGAAAUGCAGGAGAAGGAAAAACUUUUCUAUUUCAUGGAUUGACUACAAUCUUGGGACUACAACGAGCUCAAGAGGAGAAAUUUCAAAGACAUUGACGAAGCUAUUGUCGUGGCAGAAGAUCUAAUGGAAUUUCGAAAAGAAAGCACGGUUAAGAAGAAUAGUGGGGGAGAACAAACUAUGACGGGACUGGAACCAAAACAAAACACACCCCAACAUUUAAAUACAAAAGGAAAAGAAAUCGAAGGAAGAAACCGAAGAGAAGAGCGAAAGGAGAUCAAGUGCUACUUGUGUGAUGGUCCUCACUUGAUCCGAGACUGUCCGAAGAAAAAGACUCUCUAUGCGAUGGUAUUGCAAGAAGAAGAAGACGAAGCACAAAUAAGCUCAAUGCGUUUUCUGAACUCAAUAUCGAAAGAUGAGAUAAAAUCUUCUAAGAAGGAAGAAAAUAAAGGAGGGAGUCUCAUGUUCGUCGAAGUUAAAGUGAAUGCAAGGAACACUAAUGCGCUAGUAGAUUCUGGAGCAACACAUAGUUUCAUCGCAGAGGAAGAAGCAAGGAAGUUGGGUAUUCAUUAUACAAAGGAGUUAGGUCGGUUGAAGGUUGUCAACUCUCCAUCUAAUCCGAUCCUCGGAGUUUCUCGUGGAAUACCCAUGAAGAUUGCAGAAUGGGAAGGGACCAUCGACUUGAUAGUGGUUCCGAUGGACGACUAUCGCAUGGUACUAGGAAUGGAUUUCCUGGAUAUGGUAUGUCCUUGGUCGUUCGAAAGAGACAACACCCUGCGUAUAACCAAGGGAUCAACUAUCCAUAUAAUUCCCUUAGAACGAAGAAAGACAAAAGCUCGAUCCCUUUCAAGUAUGAAGAUGUGUUAUGACCAGAGCACUAUAAUCAAGAAGAAUAUGAAGCCAAAAGGGGAAGUUCGAAUAAGCGAGGGACGUUUGAAGGAACAGGGAUCCAUAUCCCACAUGACGAGUUACUCAAGGUUUUACGAGGCUGAGAGAAGAAAUAGGAUUCAAAGUACAUCAAGAAAUAAAUGCACGCCUUACUCGAAGAGACACUUUGGAGAAAACAAAAAGACACGAAGUAGCCUCGUGACAACAUCGAGACAUAUGUAUAGAAGACUUGACGAGGACGUCAAGGGUUUAAGUGGGGGAGGGUGUCACGGACCAAGUUUCUGGAAAAUUCCACGAUCGUCUAGAGAACUCUGGAACGAUCAAGUAUAUUUGAGAAGUCUCCGAAGAGAUCCGGAAUGCUCUACGAGACCCUGGAAGAUGCUAGAAUAUUGUAGAUGUCUGUGGAACAAAGGAGAAGGAUCCGGAAUAAUCAACNGAAUAAUCAAGAAUACGCUAGAAGAAGCUAGUACGACCCAAAAGACUUUGGAAGGAUCUAGAACCCGCUAGAUCAUAUAAGAACAAUUUGGAUCAUGUCGGGACGACUUAGAGAUUUCUAGAGCAUUGUAUACAAGUCUACCAUAUUCUAGAGUUUUGUAAAAUCCAUGUAUAUAAUAGGAAGAGUCUAGAUUAGUCAUGAAUGAUCGGGACCUAGAACUUCCAUUUGAGGAGGUGUAAGGUUCCUAUAAAUAGGGGGGAGGACUCAUUUGUAGAAACCAUCAAGAAGCUGCCUUGUAAAGAAGUUGAGUUAUAUAAUAAAAGCUUUAUUGAAGUGUCCCUUGUCGUAACUCUUGAUUCCUAAGUUCGUUAGUACAUCUAGAUCGUCGAAGUUAGCCUGACUUAGUCGGAGAAGCACUAAGUGGCACACGGUAUUGACUAGUCUAAAAGAGUCAUCCCGUGACAAGGGGCUCUAAUCCAUAGAUCAACUUUGUUGGGUUUUGAGCAUUCUAACACUCCUAAGUGUACAUGCAACCCUAAAUACCUUGGAUCUAUGUUUUCUCUAUUAUACAUGCAAAUAAGAACUUCCAAGGUAUUAUCCUAAUCUAGCAUACAAAACAAUGACUAUAGCAAGAUAGAAUACAUACCUCUUUGAUGUAGAAAGUCUUCAUGAAGCUUGAGUGCCUAGUGCCCCAAGUGUGACACCUCAAAUGGAAUCACAAUCAUCAAAACACUUGGAAUGACUUGAGAGAAUUCUACACUCUUCAAAAUCGGCUAGCCCUUUCUUCACUAUCACUAGUGGCCGAUUUUUCCUCAAUAAUAAGAUGCUUAUAUAGUUACACAAUUAGGGUAAACUCUUAAUUGUCAUGGCUUUCCAUUUCCUUGGAUCCAUGGGUACAAAUACACCAUGGAGCAUCCAUGGACCAUCCUAUGGGUUUUAGCCCAACUUGAUUAUCCAUGGAGCAUUAGCCCACUAUACAAGUAUGGAUGAUUUACACAAUCAACCCAUAUAUUUAAUUAGUCUUCUUUUGAUCACUUAAUUAAUCCUAGAUUAAUUCUUGAUCAAUACUAAUUAAAUAAUCUUAUUAUUCUUAUUAUUAAUAUACUAGAACUUAUAAUAUAUUAAUAACCAUAAGUGUCUUAUUUCUCUCAUUAUAGUCUAUCCAAGUGCAUGAUGGUAUGCAACCCAAAUGGACCAUGCCGGGUCGGGUCAAGUCUUACCAAUUAUAGUUAUGGACUUAGACAUUAAUCCAACAGUCUCCCACUUGGAUAAGUCUAAAACUAUUAUUGCGUAUGACUUCAGGAACCAACUGGCAAUCGUAGCUCUCAAAAGCUUCUGUCGAACUCUGACCUUGUAGAUGAACUCUGACCUUUGUCAAUGACUUGUCCAUUAGAUAAGGGAUCAUAUAUUCCUCCAUUCUAGAUAUCAUAUGGACUGAGACAUGGAUUAUAAUCAUUCUCUCUGUCCAUUUGUUGUUUCCCGAUUUCCGAUUUAUGACGACUGACUAAUUGAACAAAUCAAAUCAGUCCUGGCCCGGCCGAGCACUUCCAUUUGUCAUCAUCAAAUCAUCGAGGGGCCCACAGAUAUCGCUUUUAUCCCGAAGGUAAAAGGAAUGGAUAAACUUCGACUCAUAUGGCUUGUUCUACUACUUGUUGAAUCAUACACAAAGGCACGUUUUAUAGCACCGAGUUACCAAAUGCGUUUUCGUGCAAUCAAUGUACUAUCAACUCAUAGUAACAACUCAUAUCUCUAGGUUUGAAGAAUAUAAGAUAUUAUCGUCUCAUGAUCACUCGUGAUAAAAUCCAUGAAGUGAUUCCAAUGAGCGCGGGUUGAAUCCAAUACUCAGAACUUAUGAGCACUCAUGAGUGUUGUAGCCCUUUGUCCAACACCUUAGACCUCUACAAGCCAACCCAUGACAGUCUUAAUUCAUAUCUACUUCCAACAUAUGACCGACUGUGGAUGGUUUGAAUAACUUAGUCAUUCCGGAAGAAUAACCCAGUUUAUUCGGGAAGUCAAAACAUGCAAAAUGAAACACAAUAAUAAUUGAAUCCAAUAUGGUAUCAACCCUUUGAACAUAAAUAAAACACCUUUUAUUUAUCACCAUAUGAUUACACAUUAUUCAUUGUAUACUGUUUCAGCUAUCAACUUUAUUCUUGAAUUUAAAACAAUAGUUGUCCCAUGCUCCAAGCAUGUACACUAUGUUUUCUUAAACACUAGUCAUGCCACACACCAAGUAUGCAUACUAUGUUUGUCUAUGAUCUUUACUUUGUGAACUAGAUCAAUUGAACAUAACUUCAAUGAUUCUCUUUUCACACUCCCAAAUCCUUACUGCAAAUGCAAGAAUUCCAAAUUCAUGCCAUUUACUGAAAUCUGUUAGAUUCUAAACUUAUAUGCAUUGAUCCUCUCGUAAUGAUUAUGCACAAAGUCAUAAAGACUUGGCAACAAUCAUUACAGAGUAUUCCAAAGGAGAUCAACUCCUUGGAAAUAUCCUUCUUGCAUUAAGUUUCCUUAAUCUUACACAGAUUGAAAAUUCUAACUUUGAAACAUUUCCAGAUUCCAUUUUGACUAUCACUUCUGAACAAGAGUUGCCUCCUUACAGAUUAUGUCAAUAUGGUCCUUCCAGAAUUAUCACUAUACUUCCAAUUGUCCUUGAGCAACCAAUCUUUGGUAAACCUUAGAUUGUCCUCGACAAUUGUUUAAUCCUUUUAGUCAUAUCCAGUUCUAAACCUUUUCCCUUCUUAAUGCCCCAGGCAUUUGGAAAAUUUUAGAACGGAUGAAUAUAGCACAUGUAAUCGAUCCUAUAUCCGAAGCAUAUGGGACACGAUUCAUGAUGUCUCACAUAAAGACUAAACCAGUCUUUUGCUAUAACUUUUCCAUUUCUAUUUGCCAAGUUCUCAUAAUUCAACCAUUUCUAUAACUUUUCCAUUUCUAUAUCCGAAGCAUAUGGUGAGAAAGUCAUCUGAUUUCUGAGUACAUGUCAAAGCUAGUGGGAGCAUAAGUGUUAUGCUAAUAAUCAUCAUGUUAGUGGGAGCAUGAUAAUUAUGAUAAAUAUUGCAAGUUAGCAAUGUUAAUUAUAGAAAACAAAAGGUUUCAAUUGGGAAAAGUUGUUUUGCUAUAAUUAAGGGAGAGGAAAUUAUGCUUCAUCUCAAAUCUAUAAGCUUAGAUUGUGAGGUUUUAAUCAUUUAGUCAAGGAUAUAUAUGGAUUUCAUGUUGGAAUGGCUCAACAUAAGGAAAUUCUGUAUAUGGGUCCAUUAUUUGCGUUCUAAAAUU
rnacentral:lncRNA from 1 species